AUUGAACGCUGGCGGCAGGCCUAACACAUGCAAGUCGAGCGAGCGGCGAACGGGUGCGUAAUGUCUGGGAAACUGCCUGUAAGCUGGGGAUAACUACUGGAAACGGUAGCUAAUACCGCAUACCAUCAGAUGUGCCCAGAUGGUAUUAGCUAGUAGGGGGGGGAACGGCUCACCUAGGCGACGAUCCCUAGCUGGUCUGAGAGGAUGACCAGCCACACUGGAACUGAGACACGGUCCAGACUCCUACGGGAGGCAGCAGUGGGGAAUAUUGCACAAUGGGCGAAAGCCUGAUCCAGCCAUGCCGCGUGUGUGAAGAAGGCCUUCGGGUCGUAAAGCACUUUCAGCGGGGAGGCGUUACCCGCAGAAGAAGCACCGGCUAACUCCGUGCCAGCAGCCGCGGUAAUUC
rnacentral:rRNA from 1 species